rnacentral:rRNA from 1 species
GACGAACGCUUGCGGCGUGCCUAAGAAAUGCAAGUCGAGCGAGCUUAGGGCUUCGGCCCGAAAGCUAGCGGCGAACGGUCGAGUAACACGUGAGCAACCUGCCCCAGAGCGGGGGAUAGCCCACCGAAAGGUGGAUUAAUACCGCAUACGGUCCGUGCCGGGCAUCCGGCAUUGAUUAAAGCAGCAAUGCGCUUUGGGAUGGGCUCGCGGCCUAUCAGCUUGUUGGUGGGGUAACGGCCUACCAAGGCUACGACGGGUAGCUGGUCUGAGAGGAUGGUCAGCCGGAUUGGGACUGAGACACGGCCCAGACUCCUACGGGGGGCAGCAAUUAGGAAUCUUGCGCAAUGGGCGAAAGCCUGACGCAGCGACGCCGCGUGACUGAUGAAGUCCUUGGAUGUAAAGUACUUUGUCCAGGGAAGAAGGAUGUGAGGUACCUGGCGAAUAAGACCCCGGCUAACUACGUAGCCAGCAGCCGCGGUAAAUAGCGUACU